GAUGAACGCUGGCGGCGUGCCUAAUACAUGCAAGUCGAGCGAACGGAUGAGAAGCUUGCUUCUCUGAUGUUAGCGGCGGACGGGUGAGUAACACGUGGAUAACCUACCUAUGAGACUGGGAUAACUUCGGGAAACCGGAGCUAAUACCGGAUAAUAUUUUGAACCGCAUGGUUCAAAAGUGAAAGACGGUCUUGCUGUCACUUAUAGAUGGAUCCGCGCUGCAUUAGCUAGUUGGUAAGGUAACGGCUUACCAAGGCAACGAUGCAUAGCCGACCUGAGAGGGUGAUCGGCCACACUGGAACUGAGACACGGUCCAGACUCCUACGGGAGGCAGCAGUAGGGAAUCUUCCGCAAUGGGCGAAAGCCUGACGGAGCAACGCCGCGUGAGUGAUGAAGGUCUUCGGAUCGUAAAACUCUGUUAUUAGGGAAGAACAUAUGUGUAAGUAACUGUGCACAUCUUGACGGUACCUAAUCAGAAAGCCACGGCUAACUACGUG
rnacentral:rRNA from 1 species